rnacentral:rRNA from 1 species
UUGAACGCUGGCGGCAGGCCUAACCCAUGCAAGUCGAGCGGAUGAAGGGAGCUUGCUCCUGGAUUCAGCGGCGGACGGGUGAGUAAUGCCUAGGAAUCUGCCUGGUAGUGGGGGAUAACGUCCGGAAACGGGCGCUAAUACCGCAUACGUCCUGAGGGAGAAAGUGGGGGAUCUUCGGACCUCACGCUAUCAGAUGAGCCUAGGUCGGAUUAGCUAGUUGGUGGGGUAAAGGCCUACCAAGGCGACGAUCCGUAACUGGUCUGAGAGGAUGAUCAGUCACACUGGAACUGAGACACGGUCCAGACUCCUACGGGAGGCAGCAGUGGGGAAUAUUGGACAAUGGGCGAAAGCCUGAUCCAGCCAUGCCGCGUGUGUGAAGAAGGUCUUCGGAUUGUAAAGCACUUUAAGUUGGGAGGAAGGGCAGUAAGUUAAUACCUUGCUGUUUUUACGUUACCAACAGAAUAAGCACCGGCUAACUUCGUG